rnacentral:hammerhead_ribozyme from 1 species
AUUCAGCUGAGGAGUCUCAAAAAAGACGAAACGCGCGUCGAACUGGAU